rnacentral:rRNA from 1 species
AUUGAACGCUAGCGGGAUGCCUUACACAUGCAAGUCGAACGGAGUGGCGAACGGGUGAGUAAUGUAUCGGAACGUGCCCAGUAGCGGGGGAUAACUACGCGAAAGCGUAGCUAAUACCGCAUACUAUUGGAGCGGCCGAUAUCGGAUUAGCUAGGUGGGGGGGUAACGGCUAACCAAGGCGACGAGCCGUAGCUGGUUUGAGAGGAUGACCAGCCACACUGGGAAUGAGACAAGGCCCAGACUCAUACGGGAGGCAGCAGUGGGGAAUUGUGGACAAUGGGGGAAAGCCUGAUCCAGCCAGCCCGCGUGUGCGAUGAAGGCCUUCGGGUUGUAAAGCACUUUCAGCGAGGAGGCGUUACUCGCAGAAGAAGCACCGGCUAACUCCGUGCCAGCAGCCGCGGUAAUUC